AUUGAACGCUGGCGGCAGGCCUAACACAUGCAAGUCGAGCGAGCGGCGGACGGGUGAGUAAUGUAUGGGAAACUGCCCGAUGGAGGGGGAUAACUACUGGAAACGGUGGCUAAUACCGCAUACCAUCAGAUGUGCCCAGAUGGGAUUAGCUAGUAGGUGGGGUAAUGGCUCACCUAGGCGACGAUCCCUAGCUGGUAUGAGAGGAUGACCAGCCACACGGGAAAUGAGAAACGGGCCAGACUCCUACGGGAGGCAGCAGUGGGGAAUAUGGCACAAGGGGCGCAAGCCGGAUGCAGCCAUGCCGCGUGUAUGAAGAAGGCCUUAGGGUUGUAAAGUACUUUCAGCGGGGAGGCGGUACCCGCAGAAGAAGCACCGGCUAACUCCGUGCCAGCAGCCGCGGUAAUUC
rnacentral:rRNA from 1 species